UGUGGAGACCCAGCUCUACCUUGUGCUCCAGGCUGGAGUCUUUAAACAUCAGUGAGAAUGGCUUGAUAUGCUCUCUUCUCAAUUUAUCGCCACUCCGCAAGUCGAUGGUAAAAAAUGCAAGCAACUUGCAGCCUCCCACCAUUUCACAGGGUUACACAGCACGAGACGGGGAAAGGCAUAACCACCACGGCUGGUCACUGGAUAUGGAUACAUGGAUGCAGAAACUGCAUUGGCUUACGAAGACACACCAGCCUCUCAGCUUGGCUAUGUUUAGAACACAGGCUAGAUGAAGAUAAGAUUAUGGAGUCAUCAAAUGGCAGCCUGUGAGAGGUGACAUAGGACCUUGCAGAUCCUCUUGCCAAACCUUCAGAUAUCGAUGAGCCUCAGAGAGACUUGCUCAUUUGCCGCCAAGCCAGAUCUGCUGACUCCAGGACCACAGCUGGAGUCAGGAGCUUUGACCUCUGUGAAGCCAUCCAGCCCACCCCAUAAGGAUUCUCCCUAUGGUGUUAUUGAACCCUUCAUUUUAACCUUCAUGAAGCUGGUGUUUUAGGUAUUUGGGAAGUCAGUUGGAGCAGCAGAAAUGGCAGAGUUUGCAGCUGAGAUGGCCUCUCAUGACUGAGUUUUUUCCCAAAAUGAUGUUGAAUUCCCUAGAUUUAUCCUAAUGGAGAUUCGUGCUCUCCUCAGAUGCUGAAACUGGCCCAGAAGUAACAAGUACAUAUUUGGCCCCAAAUCAUAUUAGUGGUUAGUGGCAGUGCUGGAUUGAGACAAGAACUUUUACUUUCAGCGUCUCUCUACCACCCUGGAACUGUAUUAUAUGGUAACUACUACCAGCACAACCACAAUAAAUAUUUACUGAGUACAGGACAAAGGACUUUAUAUGCAUUAUUUCAUUUAACACAAGUUCAAAAAUGGUGAUCUUCAUGGUGUGGUACUAAGGCCAGCAGUUCCUACCAGGAACUGGUAGAAAGCAUCAUCUUGAGUUCCAUGCCAGACAUACUGAACCAGAAACUCGGCAGUGGGGCCCAGCAAGCUAUGGUUUAAUAAACUCUCGGGUAAUUCCAAGGCUGAGGUUUGAGAACCGUUCUUCUAGAAACCCAAGGCUCAGUGGUGUUAAAGAAGAAGACAAUAAAAAAGUGGAAAAAUAUAUAACAAUAUCAAACCAUGGUGAGUCUGGGGUCCCGUUUUGACAUUCCUGCAUUUUGCACAUUGACAACAUGCCAUGGCUAAGCAGAGAUGGAUACUGAAUAGAAGACUAGACUACGUGCUUUAUAAGCACUAUCAUAUUUGAAACUACAUUUUUAAGGCGGAUAAUGUUUUCAGUCCAAAAUUACAGUGAAGAAACUGGGAAGGGCAUGAAGUACUUGCCACAAUCUUCCA
rnacentral:lncRNA from 1 species